ACCGGCAGCUCAAGUGGUGGCCAUUUUUAUUGGGCCUAAAGCGUUCGUAGCCGGUUUGAUAAGUCUCUGGUGAAAUCCCGCAGCUUAACUGUGGGACUUGCUGGAGAUACUAUUAGACUUGAGGUCGGGAGAGGUUAGGGGUACUCCCAGGGUAGGGGUGAAAGGAUAUAAGCCUGGGAGGACAACCUAUGGCGAGGGCGGCUAACGGGAACAAACCUGACGGUGGUUAACGAGAGUCAGUGGUGUGCAUCG
rnacentral:rRNA from 1 species